CUAUUAGUCCUCAACCCUCCAAGGCACCGCAGGGAGAGACAAGCAGUCAGGCAGCCCAGAGGUACCCUCUGAGAAUGGCAUGAAGGCCUCAAACUACAGAAAGUGGCCUUGGGCAUCCAGGAAGUUUUUAGGAUGAAAGUGGAGGGGCUUCUCCCACACAGUCUCAUCCUUUAGCAUAGAGGACAGGUCGGGGAUGAGGGCCUUCACUGGCAGGAGACACAAUGUCUGAACAUUAACACGAUGAGGCUUACUAGGCCCUAGUCACUAAGUUCACAGGCACAGCCUCUACUACACACACUAGAUGCUUUCAUAUAAAUUUACCUGUAGAUGCUUCUCAGCUUUCACUAAUACUAUGACAUGGAUAUGUGAUAAGUGGCAGAUAUACACCCACUCUCACCGGUAUUUACAGUUAGUGGAUGUUACAAGCACUCGUUUGUCGCAGACCUUUUGGGUCCCUGUGUCUGCGUGGAACGGGGUCUCUCGACGCGGGUGGGCAAAGCGUGGAUGGAUGACAGACAGACACACGCAGGAGAGUUUGUGUGGAAUCUGAAUGUAAUUUUACAACUCGAGCAUCAGACUUUUUAUGCAGAGGACAAUAAGGAAGUUGGGUGACAUAUUCGCAAGGUACAAUUGAGGUAACCGGAAUCUUACAUAAAACAGAGGAAUGUAAACACAAAAGGUCUAACGGGAACCACCCAGGAUAGAAUACAUUGAUAACAGCUGGGAUCAACAAGGGCUCCACCUAAAAUUCACUAAUCUUAGAAGCCAGGGUCAAGGGCUUCGCGUCCUUGCCUUAGUUCCUAUUUUAGUCUCUUGUAUAGUCCACCUUCCCCUUAGGCCAUUGUAAAUAUGUGUAUGGGUGUAACUCUGAUAUAGUAUCUAUUCUGGUUUCUCCUUUGGUCUGAAACUUCCUUCUUCCUAAGUGAUGGUAAAUUCCUGUGUAAGGGAGUGACUUAGCUUUUACAAUCUUGCUGAAUUCUAAACCCUUGAUCUUGGUCAAGGAUGCCCUUGGACUGUUGGAACACUGGCGGAAGGCUUUAGCCAUGUCAGAGCACUUAUAGGAAAAUACUGAAAGAGAGCACAUGGAUCCAUACUCUAGACUAGCGCGGUAAUGGAACUUGGGAAUGAAAAAUUAAUAUAUGGGUAGAGAACACUAGCCUCCAGGAGGAGAGCUUCCUUGAAACUCUUUUGCCUCAUGAGUGACUUUUAAGCCUUUCGGCUUGUCCAGUUGACUCGACCAGAGAGCGUAGCACUCGUUCUGUAUUUUACCUUGCUUGCCUUUCUAGCUGGGAAUUCUAAAGUAUAGUUAUUGCUCUUAUUUCUAUUCCCAUGUUAACCCAGGGAAGUUGGUUCUGUUGAGUUGAGAAUUCUGUUGCCUAAACUCUAGUCCUGUGCAAUUGAUCAGAUCAGGUCAGCAGCUCACUGGCAACACUGAAUAGACAUUGAAAGGACCAGGCCUACGUUAGGGAUUAGAAGCCGUGCACAUCAAUGUCAGGGGAAGUCCUUUGUGGCAAAACCAUGGCAGUGAUGUCUUCAAAACGCUUCACCUCAUGAAUGACAACGUUGGUGAAAGGCAUGAGGAUCUAGUCUGCCAUCUCUGGAUGCCACACCUACCCUAUGACCUUGUCAAUUUCCUAUGAUUCUUUGCAUCAAAAAACAGCAAGUCCUAAGUUAAUGAGACCCAGUAUGGUUCCCCUUGUCUGUUAAGGGCUGAGUCCAUGGGAGGAAAUAUGACCAUCUUCUUUACUAGAGUGUAGGUUAAACCUCACUGGGAACCACAAGUGUCCCAAGUAAGCUUAAGGAAUGUGUCUCUACAAUCCUCCUCCUUUCUUCCCAGAUACAGUGAUGAGGCUCACUCUGAACAUCUGGUUGCUGG
rnacentral:lncRNA from 1 species